UUGUCCCCUGGAGUUCCCUGCAAACACUUCACAAGCUAGACCAUAUAUAGUAUGCCCUUGCACAAUGUGGUAUCCAGUUACCUAGCUAGUGAAGUGUUUGGGGGAACUCUAGGUGUUAC
rfam:Sorghum bicolor cultivar BTx623 chromosome 7, whole genome shotgun sequence.